rnacentral:rRNA from 1 species
UACGUAGGGUGCGAGCGUUGUCCGGAAUUAUUGGGCGUAAAGAGCUCGUAGGCGGUGUGUCGCGUCGGUCGUGAAAACUUGGGGCUUAACCCUGAGCUUGCGGUCGAUACGGGCAUCACUGGAGUUCGGCAGGGGAGACUGGAAUUCCUGGUGUAGCGGUGAAAUGCGCAGAUAUCAGGAGGAACACCGGUGGCGAAGGCGGGAUCCUGGACCGGUAUUGACGCUGAGGCGCGAAAGCUAGGGGAGCAAACGGG